rnacentral:tRNA from 1 species
GGGGGUGUAGCUCAGAUGGUAGAGCGCGCGCUUAGCAUGCGCGAGGUGCCGGGAUCGAUACCGGGCACCUCCA